AGAGCGUAUGGUGGAUGCCUUGGCACUAAGAGCCGAUGAAAGACGUGAUAAGCUGCGAAAAGCUUCGGGGAGGAGCAAAUAUCCUUUGAUCCGGAGAUAUCUGAAUGGGGAAACCUGGCUGAGCAAACCUCAGUCGGCGUAUGGUGAAUACAUAGCCAUACGUUGGGAACCCGCUGAACUGAAACAUCUAAGUAGGCGGAGGAAAAGAAAGAAAACUCGAUUUCCAAAGUAGCGGCGAGCGAAAUGGAAGGAGCCUAAACCGGCGUGCGUGCAUGCCGGGGUUAUGGACUGCAUAAAGCGAGGAGAUUCAUUAACAGAACGGUCCUGGAAAGACCGGCCACAGAGGGUGAAAGCCCCGUAUGUGAAACCAGAAGAGAGCGAGCAGAUUCCAAAGUACCACGAGACACGAGAAACCUUGUGGGAAUUCGGGGGGACCACCCCCCAAGGCUAAAUACUCCUUAGUGACCGAUAGCGCAUAGUACUGUGAAGGAAAGGUGAAAAGGACCCCGGGAGGGGAGUGAAAAAGAACCUGAAACCCUGUGUUUACAAGCUGUGGAACCACAUUUUAGGUGGAACCGCGUACUUUUUGUAGAACGGUCCGGCGAGUUGCCGGGACUGGCAAGGUUAAGCACUGAAGGUGUGGAGCCGAAGGGAAACCAAGUCUUAAUAGGGCGCAGAGUCAGUUCAGGCAGACCCGAAACCGGGUGAUCUACCCAUGUCCAGGUUGAAGUUUCCGUAAAAGGAAAUGGAGGACCGAACGCACAUCCGUUGAAAAGGGUGGCGAUGAGGUGUGGGUAGGGGAGAAAUUCCAAUCGAACCCGGAGAUAGCUGGUUCUCCUCGAAAUAGCUUUAGGGCUAGCCUCGUAUUAGUUUAGCGGAGGUAGAGCACUGAAUUCUUAAGGGGGCGUCAAAGCUUACCAAGAGAUAUCAAACUCCGAAUGCCGCAUAAAUGAUGUACGGGAGUCAGACUGCACGAGAUAAGUUGGGUAGUCAAAAGGGAAAGAGCCCAGACCUACAGCUAAGGUCCCAAAGUGUGUGUUAAGUGGAAAAGGAUGUGGGAUUUCAAAGACAACUAGGAUGUUGGCUCAGAAGCAGCCACACAUUCAAAGAGUGCGUAAUAGCUCACUAGUCGAGAGGUCCUGCGCCGAAAAUGUCCGGGGCUGAAACACAACACCGAAGCUUAGGAAUUGACGCAAGUCAAUUGGUAGAGGAGCAUUCUUAACUGCGAAGAAGCGUUACCGUAAGGAGGCGUGGAGUGUUAAGAAGAGAGAAUGCCGGAAUGAGUAGCGAGAUGGAGGUGGGAAUCCUCCAGGCCGAAUAUCUAAGGUUUCCAGAGUAAAGCUGAUCUGCUCUGGGUAAGUCGGGGCCUAAGGCGAGGUCGAAAGACGUAGUCGAUGGACAACAGGUUGAAAUUCCUGUACCGCGUAUUAUCAGAACUGUGGGGACACAGAACCGAAGCCAAACCCGGGAAUGAAAAGACCGGGGCAAGCGCCGGACUGGUUAGACUGGAAAAUCCGUUUAACAACAGGAAAGCGUGAUGCGUACCGAACAAAAGUAGGGAAGUUGGUAUAGGGGCUGUCAAGAAAAGCCGCUAUUGUGUAAUACGUGCCCGUACCGUAAACCGACACAGGUGGAUGAGGAGAGAAUCCUAAGGCCGGCGGGAGAAGCAUUGUUAAGGAACUCGGCAAAAUGACCCCGUAACUUCGGGAGAAGGGGUGCCAACGAGAGUUGGCCGCAGAGAAUAGGCUCAAGCAACUGUUUAGCAAAAACACAGGUCUAUGCAAAACCGAAAGGUGAGGUAUAUGGGCUGACGCCUGCCCGGUGCUGGAAGGUUAAGAGGAGAGGUUAGAGCAAUCGAAGCUUUGAAUUUAAGCCCCAGUAAACGGCGGCCGUAACUAUAACGGUCCUAAGGUAGCGAAAUUCCUUGUCGGGUAAGUUCCGACCCGCACGAAAGGCGUAAUGAUUUGAGCGCUGUCUCGACAAUGCACCCGGUGAAAUUGAAGUACCAGUGAAGAUGCUGGUUACCUGCGCCAGGACGGAAAGACCCCAUGGAGCUUUACUCCAGCUUGAUACUGGGAUUCGGUGUCGCAUGUACAGGAUAGGUGGGAGGCAAUGAAGGCAGGACGCCAGUCUUGCCGGAGCCAUUGUUGGGAUACCACCCUUGCGAUAUUGGGUUUCUAACCUGCGGCCAUGACCUGGCCGGGGGACAAUGUCAGGUGGGGAGUUUGACUGGGGCGGUCGCCUCCGAAAGAGUAUCGGAGGCGCUCAAAGGUUCCCUCAGAAUGGACGGAAACCAUUCGAAGAGUGCAAAGGCAGAAGGGAGCUUGACUGCGACACCGACGG
rnacentral:rRNA from 1 species